CCUACGGGUGGCUGCAGUGGGGAAUAUUGCACAAUGGGCGCAAGCCUGAUGCAGCCAUGCCGCGUGUGUGAAGAAGGCCUUCGGGUUGUAAAGCACUUUCAGCGGGGAGGAAGGCGGUGAGGUUAAUAACCUCAUCGAUUGACGUUACCCGCAGAAGAAGCACCGGCUAACUCCGUGCCAGCAGCCGCGGUAAUACGGAGGGUGCAAGCGUUAAUCGGAAUUACUGGGCGUAAGGCGCACGCAGGCGGUCUGUCAAGUCGGAUGUGAAAUCCCCGGGCUCAACCUGGGAACUGCAUUCGAAACUGGCAGGCUAGAGUCUUGUAGAGGGGGGUAGAAUUCCAGGUGUAGCGGUAAAAUGCGGCGAGAUCUGGAGGAAUACCGGUGGCGAAGGCGGCCCCCUGGACAAAGACUGACGCUCAGGUGCGAAAGCGUGGGGAGCAAACAGGAUUAGAUACCCGUGUAGUC
rnacentral:rRNA from 1 species